rnacentral:hammerhead_ribozyme from 1 species
AUCCAGCUGACGAGUCCCAAAUAGAGGUAAACGCACUUCCUGAAU